rnacentral:rRNA from 1 species
AGCAGCCGCGGUAAUUCCAGCUCCAAUAGCGUAUAUUAAAGUUGUUGCAGUUAAAAAGCUCGUAGUUGAAUUUCGAGACCGGCUUACUGGUCGUGCUAUUGUACGUACUGGUAUAAUCGGUUUCUCCUUUCUGACGAACUUUAAUGCCAUUAAUUUGGUGUUUUAGGGAAUCAGGACUGUUACUUUGAAAAAAUUAGAGUGUUUAAAGCAGGCUCACGCUUGAAUACAUUAGCAUGGAAUAACGGAAUAGGACGUUUGAUUCUAUUUUGUUGGUUUCUAGGAUCGACGUAAUGAUUAAUAGGGAUAGUUGGGGGCAUUAGUAUUCAAUUGUCAGAGGUGAAAUUCUUGGAUUUAUUGAAGACUAACUACUGCGAAAGCAUUUGCCAAGGAUGUUUUCAUUAAUCAAGAACGAAAGUUAGGGGAUCGAAGACGAUCAGAUACCGUCGUAGUCUUAACCAUAAACUAUGCCGACUAGGGAUCGGAUGAUGUAAUUUUUAAUGACUCAUUCGGCGCCUUACGG